CCUACGGGUGGCAGCAGUGAGGAAUAUUGGUCAAUGGACGAGAGUCUGAACCAGCCAAGUAGCGUGAAGGAUGACUGCCCUAUGGGUUGUAAACUUCUUUUAUAUGGGAAUAAAAUGUUCCACGUGUGGGAUUUUGUAUGUACCAUAUGAAUAAGGAUCGGCUAACUCCGUGCCAGCAGCCGCGGUAAUACGGAGGAUCCGAGUGUUAUCCGGGUUUAUUGGGUUUAAAGGGAGCGUAGGUGGAUUGUUAAGUCAGUUGUGAAAGUUUGCGGCUCAACCGUAAAAUUGCAGUUGAAACUGGCAGUCUUGAGUACAGUAGAGGUGGGCGGAAUUCGUGGUGUAGCGGUGAAAUGCUUAGAUAUCACGAAGAACUCCGAUUGCGAAGGCAGUUCACUGGACUGCAACUGACACUGAGGCUCGAAAGUGUGGGUAUCAAACAGGAUUAGAUACCCGGGUAGUC
rnacentral:rRNA from 1 species